rnacentral:rRNA from 1 species
UACGUAGGGUGCAAGCGUUAAUCGGAAUUACUGGGCGUAAAGCGUGCGCAGGCGGUUCGUUGUGUCGGCGGUGAAAGCCCCGGGCUUAACCUGGGAAUGGCCGUUGAAACUGGCGAACUGGAGUGUGGCAGGAGGGGGGUGGAAUUCCGCGUGUAGCAGUGAAAUGCGUAGAGAUGCGGAGGAACACCGAUGGCGAAGGCAGCCCCCUGGGCUAACACUGACGCUCAGGCACGAAAGCGUGGGGAGCAAACAGG